GACGAACGCUGGCGGCGUGCUUAACACAUGCAAGUCGAACGCAGUGGCGGACGGGUGAGUAACGCGUAAUCAACCUGCCCUUCAGCGGGGGACAACAGUUGGAAACGACUGCUAAUACCGCAUACUGAAGGUGGAGCUUGCGUCUGAUUAGCUGGUUGGAGGGGUAACGGCCAACCAAGGCGAUGGUCACUAGGCGGUCUGGGAGGAUGAACGGCCACAUUGGGACUGAGACACGGGCCAGACUCCUACGGGAGGCAGCAGUGGGGAAUCUUCCGCAAUGGACGGAAGUCUGACGGAGCAACGCCGCGUGAGUGAUGACGGCCUUCGGGGUGUAAAGCUCUGUUAAUCGGGACGCGGUACCGGAAUAGAAAGCCACGGCUAACUACGUGCCAGCAGCCGCGGUAAUUC
rnacentral:rRNA from 1 species